rnacentral:rRNA from 1 species
AUGAACGCCAGGUUAUGUGCGCCGUUUACCGAGGAGGAAGUGUCGAAUGCACUGUUUCAAAUUGGCCCGCUUAAAGCUCCGGGCACGGAUGGCUUCCCGGCAAGGUUCUAUCAACGGAAUUGGGCAGCUCUAAAAUCUGAAAUCACAGCUGCUGUGUUGGAGUUCUUUGUCUCUGGCUCCAUGCCAGAAGGGGUUAACGAUACGGCGAUCGUCCUCAUCCCGAAAGUUCCUCAUCCCAAGGAGCUCAAGGAUUUCAGGCCGAUCAGCCUUUGCAAUGUUAUUUACAAGUUGGUGUCUAAAUGUUUGGUUAACCAUCUCCGUCCCUGUCUGUCGGAGUUGAUUUCUGAGAAUCAAAGUGCUUUUAUUCCGGGCCGGCUCAUCUUAGAUAAUUCUAUUAUUGCCUUUGAGUGCAUCCAUCACAUACAAUCGUUGAAGAACACCAGUCGGGCGGCCUGCGCGUACAAACUCGAUCUUUCAAAGGCGUAUGAUCGGGUCGACUGGGAUUUUCUGGAGAAGGCGCUGAGUAGAUGGGGCUUCUCGGAACAGUGGAUAGCUUGGAUAAUGUCUUGUGUCAAAUCUGUCCGUUAUUCGGUUAAACUGAAUGGGAAACUUCUGUCUCUAAUGGCAUCAUCGCGAGGCCUUCGUCAAGGUGACCCAUUGUCUUCGUUUUUGUUUCUCUUUGUCACUGAUGCAUUAUCUGCUCUCCUAUCUAAAUCAGUGAAUGAAGGUAGCUUGAACGGGGUGAGCAUUUGUCGGGGUGCACCGGAGAUAUCUCAUCUCCUCUUUGUGGAUGACACCUUGCUAUUUUUUGAAGCUUUAGGCCAGCAGGCGAAUGUUGUUAAAGGUUUGUUGAACACUUAUUCCUCGGCGACGGGUCAACUUAUAAACCCCGAGAAGUGUUCCACCCUUUUUUUUGACAAUUGUGGUGGGUCAGUCGUGGAUGAGAUCAAGAGUACAUUGGAGGUAACGCAACAGGUGUUUGAACCAAAAUACCUUGGACUCCCGGUCCCUGAAGGAAGAGUUCACAAGGGGCAGUUUGAGUCACUACAAGAUAGAUUGAGGAAAAUUCUUAUUGAUUGGAGUGAACAAUAUGUUUCAGGUGGAAAUAAAGAGAUUCUUAUCAAGGCCGGGGCUCAGGCGAUUCCCACCUAUGUAAUGAGUGUGUUCAAAUUGCCGGCCUCAGUGUGUGAUGAUCUAACCACGAUGAUGUAG